rnacentral:rRNA from 1 species
GUGAAUGCUGGCGAUAGGCCUAACACAUGCAAGUCGAACGGCAGCACAGUAAGAGCUUGCUCUUACGGGUGGCGAGUGGCGGACGGGUGAGGAAUACAUCGGAAUCUACUUUUUCGUGGGGGAUAACGUAGGGAAACUUACGCUAAUACCGCAUACGACCUACGGGUGAAAGCAGGGGAUCUUCGGACCUUGCGCGAUUGAAUGAGCCGAUGUCGGAUUAGCUAGUUGGCGGGGUAAAGGCCCACCAAGGCGACGAUCCGUAGCUGGUCUGAGAGGAUGAUCAGCCACACUGGAACUGAGACACGGUCCAGACUCCUACGGGAGGCAGCAGUGGGGAAUAUUGGACAAUGGGCGCAAGCCUGAUCCAGCCAUACCGCGUGGGUGAAGAAGGCCUUCGGGUUGUAAAGCCCUUUUGUUGGGAAAGAAAAGCAGCAGGUUAAUACCCCGCUGUUCUGACGGUACCCAAAGAAUAAGCACCGGCUAACUUCGUG